GAUGAACGCUGGCGGCGUGCUUAACACAUGCAAGUCGAACGGUGAAGGCGGAGCUUGCUCUGCUGGAUCAGUGGCGAACGGGUGAGUAACACGUGAGCAAUCUGCCCCUGACUCUGGGAUAAGCGCUGGAAACGGCGUCUAAUACUGGAUACGAGCUGCGAAGGCAUCUUCAGCAGCUGGAAAGAAUUUCGGUCAGGGAUGAGCUCGCGGCCUAUCAGCUUGUUGGUGAGGUAAUGGCUCACCAAGGCGUCGACGGGUAGCCGGCCUGAGAGGGUGACCGGCCACACUGGGACUGAGACACGGCCCAGACUCCUACGGGAGGCAGCAGUGGGGAAUAUUGCACAAUGGGCGAAAGCCUGAUGCAGCAACGCCGCGUGAGGGACGACGGCCCUCGGGUUGUAAACCUCUUUUAGCAGGGAAGAAGCGAAAGUGGCGGUACCUGCAGAAAAAGCGCCGGCUAACUACGUG
rnacentral:rRNA from 1 species